UACGUAGGGGGCAAGCGUUAUCCGGAUUUACUGGGUGUAAAGGGGGCGCAGACGGCGAUGCAAGCCAGGGGUGAAAGCCCGGGGCCCAACCCCGGGACUGCUCUUGGAACUGCGUGGCUGGAGUGCAGGAGGGGCAGGCGGAAUUCCUGGUGUAGCGGUGAAAUGCGAAGAUAUCAGGAGGAACACCGGUGGCGAAGGCGGCCUGCUGGACUGCAACUGACGUUGAGGCCCGAAAGCGUGGGGAGCAAACAGG
rnacentral:rRNA from 1 species